AGUCGAGCGGUAACAGAAAGUAGCUUGCUACUUUGCUGACGAGCGGCGGACGGGUGAGUAAUGCUUGGGAACAUGCCUUGAGGUGGGGGACAACAGUUGGAAACGACUGCUAAUACCGCAUAAUGUCUACGGACCAAAGGGGGCUUCGGCUCUCGCCUUUAGAUUGGCCCAAGUGGGAUUAGCUAGUUGGUGAGGUAAUGGCUCACCAAGGCAACGAUCCCUAGCUGGUUUGAGAGGAUGAUCAGCCACACUGGAACUGAGACACGGUCCAGACUCCUACGGGAGGCAGCAGUGGGGAAUAUUGCACAAUGGGCGAAAGCCUGAUGCAGCCAUGCCGCGUGUGUGAAGAAGGCCUUCGGGUUGUAAAGCACUUUCAGUCAGGAGGAAAGGGUGUGAGUUAAUACCUCAUAUCUGUGACGUUACUGACAGAAGAAGCACCGGCUAACUCCGUGCCAGCAGCCGCGGUAAUACGGAGGGUGCGAGCGUUAAUCGGAAUUACUGGGCGUAAAGCGUACGCAGGCGGUUUGUUAAGCGAGAUGUGAAAGCCCCGGGCUCAACCUGGGGAACUGCAUUUCGAACUGGCAAACUAGAGUGUGAUAGAGGGUGGUAGAAUUUCAGGUGUAGCGGUGAAAUGCGUAGAGAUCUGAAGG
rnacentral:rRNA from 1 species